CGCUAUCAUCCUACGGGAGGCAGCAGUGGGGAAUAUUGCACAAUGGGCGCAAGCCUGAUGCAGCCAUGCCGCGUGUAUGAAGAAGGCCUUCGGGUUGUAAAGUACUUUCAGCAGUGAGGAAGGCAGGUACGUUAAUAGCGUGCUUGUUUGACGUUAGCUGCAGAAGAAGCACCGGCUAACUCCGUGCCAGCAGCCGCGGUAAUACGGAGGGUGCGAGCGUUAAUCGGAAUUACUGGGCGUAAAGCGCAUGCAGGUGGUUCGUUAAGUCAGAUGUGAAAGCCCGGGGCUCAACCUCGGAAUUGCAUUUGAAACUGGCGGACUAGAGUACUGUAGAGGGGGUAGAAUUUCAGGUGUAGCGGUGAAAUGCGUAGAGAUCUGAAGGAAUACCGGUGGCGAAGGCGGCCCCCUGGACAGAUACUGACACUCAGAUGCGAAAGCGUGGGGAGCAAACAGGAUUAGAUACCCUGGUAG
rnacentral:rRNA from 1 species